AGAGUUUGAUCCUGGCUCAGGAUGAACGCUAGCGGCAGGCUUAACACAUGCAAGUCGAGGGGUAACGGGGAAGCUUGCUUCCGCCGACGACCGGCGCACGGGUGCGUAACGCGUAUACAAUCUACCUUAUACUGGGGUAUAGCCUUUAGAAAUGAAGAUUAACCCCCCAUAGUCUCUUAGAGUGGCAUCACUUCUAGAGUAAAGGUUACGGUAUAAGAUGAGUAUGCGUUCUAUUAGUUUGUUGGUGUGGUAACGGCACACCAAGACUACGAUAGAUAGGGGCCCUGAGAGGGGGAUCCCCCACACUGGUACUGAGACACGGACCAGACUCCUACGGGAGGCAGCAGUGAGGAAUAUUGGACAAUGGAGGCAACUCUGAUCCAGCCAUGCCGCGUGCAGGAAGACUGCCCUAUGGGUUGUAAACUGCUUUUAUACAGGAAGAAACACCUCUACGUGUAGAGGCUUGACGGUACUGUAAGAAUAAGGAUCGGCUAACUCCGUGCCAGCAGCCGCGGUAAUACGGAGGAUCCAAGCGUUAUCCGGAAUCAUUGGGUUUAAAGGGUCCGUAGGUGGAUAAUUAAGUCAGAGGUGAAAUCUUGCAGCUCAACUGUAAAAUUGCCUUUGAAACUGGUUAUCUUGAGUUAUUAUGAAGUAGUUAGAAUAUGUAGUGUAGCGGUGAAAUGCAUAGAUAUUACAUAGAAUACCAAUUGCGAAGGCAGAUUACUAAUAAUCAACUGACACUGAUGGACGAAAGCGUGGGUAGCGAACAGGAUUAGAUACCCUGGUAGUCCACGCCGUAAACGAUGGUUACUAGCUGUUUGGACUUCGGUCUGAGUGGCUAAGCGAAAGUGAUAAGUAACCCACCUGGGGAGUACGUUCGCAAGAAUGAAACUCAAAGGAAUUGACGGGGGCCCGCACAAGCGGUGGAGCAUGUGGUUUAAUUCGAUGAUACGCGAGGAACCUUACCAGGGCUUAAAUGUAAGUUGCAUUAGUUAGAGAUAGCUAUUUCUUCGGACCACUUACAAGGUGCUGCAUGGUUGUCGUCAGCUCGUGCCGUGAGGUGUCAGGUUAAGUCCUAUAACGAGCGCAACCCCUGUUGUUAGUUGCCAGCGAGUCAUGUCGGGAACUCUAGCAAGACUGCCAGUGCAAACUGUGAGGAAGGUGGGGAUGACGUCAAAUCAUCACGGCCCUUACGUCCUGGGCUACACACGUGCUACAAUGGUAGGUACAGAGAGCAGCCACUGCGCGAGCAGGAGCGAAUCUACAAAACCUAUCACAGUUCGGAUCGGAGUCUGCAACUCGACUCCGUGAAGCUGGAAUCGCUAGUAAUCGGAUAUCAGCCAUGAUCCGGUGAAUACGUUCCCGGGCCUUGCACACACCGCCCGUCAAGCCAUGGAAGUUGGAAGUGCCUGAAGUCCGUCACCGCAAGGAGCGGCCUAGGGUAAAGUCGAUAACUAGGGCUAAGUCGUAACAAGGUA
rnacentral:rRNA from 1 species